AAGUUUUUAUAGCGUAUUAAAAUUAAUUUAGAUAACAAAAUUGAAAAGAAUUUGAAAUGGAUAAAGGUGAUAAUUUUUUAAACAAAAUGUGGUUAUUGUUGUGAGGUAUUAACUAUUGCCGCACAAGAAGAAAUAUUUUGUCAUAAAUGCUUUCAACAUUAUGAUGAAGAAAUGCUGUAUUUAUUAAUGAUGACUUUGUUGUAACUAUUGGAUGUAUGACUAUGAACGAUGCAAUGAAAAGAUGGAAGUAUCUAAGAGAUAAUGGUUGCAAUAAGAUUAAAGAAACAUUGCUACAACUUUUUAAUAUUGCUGAAACUCUACAGCAAUGUUUCUGCAAGAUCUUUGCUGUAUGUGGUAUACUUUUCUUAAAUACGGAACAAGAAUAAUAAAA